rnacentral:lncRNA from 1 species
UCGGGAAUUUCAGGCAUUGGUGAUAAGUUGAUGGGACUGCCUUCAUAUUGUAUAGGCAAGGUCUUUCGAGUACUGCGUUAAAUUGGCAGGUCAAUUUAUAACGAUGAAUUCAAUGAUAUUUCAGACAUAUCUGCCGUGAUUGCGAGGUCGAUUGAUCCAAGGGAGUAUGUCGUUUCUCCAGCAAAGCCGAUCAGUGGUGUUAGUUCUUGUUUGAGGAGAGCUUUGGUGAAACCCAUUCUUUUGAAGGCGUCGUAAAAUAGAAUG